rnacentral:rRNA from 1 species
UUAGUAGUGGCGAAUGAAUCGGGAAAAGCUCAAGUUUGAAAUCCGAGGUUUACCUCGGAGUUGUAAGCUGAAGAGGCAUCGAUCGACUCGGUCCGGGCUCAAUUUCCUUGGAACAGGAGGUCAUGGAGGGUGAGAACCCCGUCUGUGGCUCGGGUGCCGUGGUCCUUGUGUCGUGUCCUCGAAGAGUCGGGUUGUUUGGGAAUGCAGCUCAAAAUGGGUGGUAAAUUUCAUCUAAAGCUAAAUAUUGGCGAGAGACCGAUAGCAAACAAGUAGAGUGAUCGAAAGAUGAAAAGUACUUUGAAAAGAGAGUGAAACAGUACGUGAAAUUGUUGAAAGGGAAGCGUUUGGCAUCAG